CAGCAGCCGCGGUAAUACGUAGGGUGCGAGCGUUAAUCGGAAUUACUGGGCGUAAAGCGUGCGCAGGCGGUUAUAUAAGACAGAUGUGAAAUCCCCGGGCUCAACCUGGGACCUGCAUUUGUGACUGUAUGGCUAGAGUACGGUAGAGGGGGAUGGAAUUCCGCGUGUAGCAGUGAAAUGCGUAGAUAUGCGGAGGAACACCGAUGGCGAAGGCAAUCCCCUGGACCUGUACUGACGCUCAUGCACGAAAGCGUGGGGAGCAAACAGGAUUAGAUACCCGCGUAGUCCCUGUCUCUUAUAC
rnacentral:rRNA from 1 species